AUACUAUUGGUGGUGUGGACACUCCUGAAGAAGAUCCUUGAAGCACUCCCAAGCAUGAUAGAGGUUUUUAUCAGGCUUCUAUUUGAAGCUUACCAUCUCACUGCAAAGUCU
rnacentral:snoRNA from 1 species